rnacentral:rRNA from 1 species
GCCCAGACUCCUACGGGAGGCAGCAGUGAGGAAUAUUGGUCAAUGGCCGAAGGGCUGAACCAGCCAAGCCGCGUGAAGGAAUAAGGCCCUACGGGUCGUAAACUUCUUUAGUCAGGGAACAAAGGGUGCCACGCGUGGCGCUGUGAGUGUACCUGAAGAAUAAGCAUCGGCUAACUCCGUGCCAGCAGCCGCGGUAAUACGGAGGAUCCGAGCGUUAUCCGGAUUUAUUGGGUUUAAAGGGAGCGUAGAUGGGUUGUUAAGUCAGUUGUGAAAGUUUGCGGCUCAACCGUAAAAUUGCAAUUGAUACUGGCAGCCUUGAGUACAGUUGAGGUAGGCGGAAUUCGUGGUGUAGCGGUGAAAUGCUUAGAUAUCACGAAGAACUCCGAUUGCGAAGGCAGCUUACUAAACUGCCACUGACAUUGAUGCUCGAAAGUGUGGGUAUCAAACAGGAUUAGAUACCCGGGUAC